UACUUUUUUUUUUUUUUUUUUUUUUUUUUUUUUUUUUUUUUUUUUUUUUACAUUCACCAUCUCU
rnacentral:ribozyme from 1 species